ACGAGCGGCGGACGGGUGAGUAAUGUCUGGGGAUCUGCCUGAUGGAGGGGGAUAACUACUGGAAACGGUAGCUAAUACCGCAUAACGUCGCAAGACCAAAGAGGGGGACCUUCGGGCCUCUUGCCAUCAGAUGAACCCAGAUGGGAUUAGCUAGUAGGUGGGGUAAUGGCUCACCUAGGCGACGAUCCCUAGCUGGUCUGAGAGGAUGACCAGCCACACUGGAACUGAGACACGGUCCAGACUCCUACGGGAGGCAGCAGUGGGGAAUAUUGCACAAUGGGCGCAAGCCUGAUGCAGCCAUGCCGCGUGUAUGAAGAAGGCCUUCGGGUUGUAAAGUACUUUCAGCGAGGAGGAAGGCAUUAAGGUUAAUAACCUUAGUGAUUGACGUUACUCGCAGAAGAAGCACCGGCUAACUCCGUGCCAGCAGCCGCGGUAAUACGGAGGGUGCAAGCGUUAAUCGGAAUUACUGGGCGUAAAGCGCACGCAGGCGG
rnacentral:rRNA from 1 species